rnacentral:rRNA from 1 species
UAACAUCCGGAAACGGGUGCUAAUACCGCAUAGUUUCUUGAUCGCAUGAUCGGGAAAGGAAAGACGGCCUUUGUGCUGUCGCUUAUGGAUGGACCCGCGGCGUAUUAGUUAGUUGGUGAGGUAACGGCUCACCAAGACGAUGAUACGUAGCCGACCUGAGAGGUGAUCGGCCACAUUGGGACUGAGACACGGCCCAAACUCCUACGGGAGGCAGCAGUAGGGAAUCUUCCGCAAUGGACGAAAGUCUGACGGAGCAACGCCGCGUGAGUGAAAAGAAGGUUUUCGGAUCGUAAAACUCUGUUGUCAGAGAAGAACAAGUUGGAGAGUAACUGCUCCAGCCUUGACGGUAUCUGACCAGAAAGCCACGGCUAACUACGUGCCAGCCGCCGC